rnacentral:rRNA from 1 species
GGAAUCUUGCGCAAUGGGCGAAAGCCUGACGCAGCAACGCCGCGUGCGGGAAGAAGGCUUUCGGGCUGUAAACCGCUUUCAGUAGGAACGAAACUGACGGUACCUACAGAAGAAGGAGCGGCCAACUAUGUGCCAGCAGCCGCGGUGACACAUAGGCUCCAAGCGUUGUCCGGAUUUAUUGGGCGUAAAGAGCUCGUAGGCGGUUGAGUAAGUCGUGUGUGAAAACUUUGGGCUUAACCCAAAGAUGCCACUCGAUACUGCUUUGACUUGAGUUCGGUAGGGGAGUGGGGAAUUCCUUGUGUAGCGGUGAAAUGCGCAGAUAUAAGGAGGAACACCGGUGGCGAAGGCGCCACUCUGGGCCGAAACUGACGCUGAGGAGCGAAAGCGUGGGGAGCAAACAGGAUUAGAUACCCUGGUAGUCCACGCGGUAAACGGUGGUCACUAGGUGUGGGUCUCUUCAAACGAGAUCUGCGCCGUCGCUAACGCAUUAAGUGACCCGCCUGGGGAGUACGGUCGCAAGACUAAAACUCAAAUGAAUUGACGG